UUGCUUUUUGAUCCUUCGAUG
rnacentral:siRNA from 1 species